CCUGGACCUCGGCUCUGGCGCGCGGGCGGAAAGGGGGCGGAGCGGGCUGGUUCCGCGCCGGACCCCGCAGUUUCGGCCUUUGUCCUCGGCUCGGUCCCCGGCCUCUGCCCCGGGACCUUCGCCCCCAGGCCCGGCGCUGGAACUCCCUCAAAUCCCGGAUGGGACUUCGCCGGGUUGAGAGGCGCCGUGGACUGGCCUCAAAUGCGGUGGGUUUUCCCGCCGUCGGAAGAGAGGACAGAACGUUCUGGGCGCCGGGGAGGACGCUGGGGACUCUGCAGCGCUCUGAGGAGCAGGACGUGACACGGAACAAGAGCAGCAGAAGUGUGAAUCACCAGCAUGUAUUAUUUUUGUAGCCCAGGACUCCUGCUGACUGACCAGCCAGUAACUGGACCCUCCAGCUCCCCCCAGACUCAAAAGAGACCAAGGUGGCCUCAGCUUAUUUCCCCACAGUCUUGCUCACUUUCUCUUCCACCUCUUGCCUUCCAAAAUUUUGAACCAGCCUUCCAGCUGCUAGAGCCCACCUGCAUGGACCGCGGUCAUUUCUUCCUUGGGCACCCCUCCAGCUCCGCAUACUCACCACCUAGCCCCAGAGGGACCUUGCCAAAAAGCACGUGUUACCACCUCCCUCCCCUGAACUAAACCCUUCUAUGGCUCCCUAUUGCGUUUGACAAGUAAAACUGAAACCAACCACUGUGACCUAAUGGGCAACUUAUAUGGCACGUCUGUGUACAUCUUACAUGGUUGAUACUGUGUUCAGUUGCUUAGCAGAGGAAGAGAUCUGUGGAGUACAAAGGCUUUUUGCUAUCUGUAUAACGUCCAGGCAGCCUGUCUCUGUAUUAAGAAAGUUGAAUAUGUGAUUUUUUAAAUAUAUAUAUAUAUAUAUAUAUA
rnacentral:lncRNA from 1 species